AGGGGUGUGGUUCAGUGGUAGAGUACUUGCCUAGCAUGCAUGAGGUCCUGGAUUCAAUCCCCAGCAUUACCA
rnacentral:tRNA from 1 species